rnacentral:rRNA from 1 species
AGAUUGAACGCUGGCGGCAGGCCUAACACAUGCAAGUCGAGCGGCAGCACGGGUACUUGUACCUGGUGGCGAGCGGCGGACGGGUGAGUAAUGCCUAGGAAUCUGCCUGGUAGUGGGGGAUAACGCUCGGAAACGGACGCUAAUACCGCAUACGUCCUACGGGAGAAAGCAGGGGACCUUCGGGCCUUGCGCUAUCAGAUGAGCCUAGGUCGGAUUAGCUAGUUGGUGAGGUAAUGGCUCACCAAGGCGACGAUCCGUAACUGGUCUGAGAGGAUGAUCAGUCACACUGGAACUGAGACACGGUCCAGACUCCUACGGGAGGCAGCAGUGGGAAUAUUGGACAAUGGGCGAAAGCCUGAUCCAGCCAUGCCGCGUGUGUGAAGAAGGUCUUCGGAUUGUAAAGCACUUUAAGUUGGAGGAAGGCUAGUUACCUAAUACGUAUCUGUUUUGACGUUACGACAGAAUAAGCACCGCUAACUCUGU